AUGGUACAAUUGUCACAUGGGUCCGAUGUAUUUUGUUGGAACCUACAUGGGAAUGGGCAAUUCUCAGUGGAGUAUGUGUAUAGAGCUUUGAUCCAGUCUGACGUGCCAGUUGAUAAUAAUAAGAUCUGGAAGAUGAAGAUACCUCUUAAGAAUAUAAUCUUUGCAUGAUAUCUUUGUCGCGGAGUCAUUCUUACUAAACAUAACCUUAUUAAGAGGAAUUCACAUGGAAGUACGCAAUGUGUAUUUUGUCCGCAUGAUGAGACAAUAAAACAUUUGUUCUUCCAAUGUAAAUUGGCUCGUUCUAUAUGGUCAGUCAUCCAAAUAGCUUAUGACUUGUAUCCUCUUUGUAGUGUUGCUAAUAUAUUUGGCAACUGGUUACAUAGGAUUGAUCAUAGGUUUAGUGAUGCGGAGCAUCCCACGACCAUCCCCAUGGACGCCACCUCAACUAUCCAAGCUCCAAGUGGACCAAUGACAAGGGCUAGGGCACGUGCUAUUCAAUCCGAGGUGACAUCACUCCUACUUGAGUUUUCCCCCUCUUCAAGUGAGACAUGGCUACUGCCUAAGUCCGAGAUACUAUGUGUCAUCAGGUACAACGCUUAA
rnacentral:rRNA from 1 species